UUUAAGCAUAUCACUCAGUGGAGGAACAGCAAGCAACCUCGAUUGCUGCAGUAAUGGCGAAUGAACGAGCAGGACCCACGGCUCUUCCUGAAAAUGGGACUCCUGACUCCAGGCGACACUCACGUGGUGCUCGUCUCGAUCGGCUUUCGUUGGAUUCCAGCAAACACUGUGGGCUUUGGAGCGAUUGGCUGCGUUUGGGUGACCCUAGGGCCAAGAAGAGACCUGGAAUGGUCCCACAGAACAGGGAGAUUGUCCCGUAUGCUUGGCUGUGCCCUGGGGUUCAUUCGGAUGUGGCUGGUUGCAUCCUCGAGUAGAGUGGCUUGGGACUGCAGUUUGAAGAGCGACGUGUAUCCGUCGCAAGGAGGCAUACAGACCUGGGACCGAUAGCGCAGAAGUAGAGUGAUCGAAGGAUGCAAAGAACUCCGUGAAGAGGGUUAAAAGCCCCUGAAGCCGCAACAGGAACGGUGGUGUGCAGUGCUGUUCGUCUAACGAUUAUCCAAGCGGCCCUGAGUCAGCCCGGGAUCGGCCACUGAGCUCCCAGCCUCUGCUGGGAAUGACCAUCGUGGCGGUCUCGCGGUGGCAGGUCAGCCCUGUCUGGACUCGGGGUUCCCCAGUGAAGAAGUCCUCAUCAUUCUCUGAUGUGACUCUGGAUGCGCAGCAGACCGCGACCGUGGCAGUGGGCUCAGAGCAAGAGCGAAUCUCUCCCCUGGCACGGCUCGUGGAAUGCUUGUCUAUUGUUGCUGCUUGUCCUCGAUCCCGGUGCGUCUUCGGACGUGUCGGUCGCUGGCGGUUGAUCUGGAUGGGGUGUACUUGGCUACACUGGGGACUGCACCAACUUGUUGGUGGUCACCGUGUUCGGCUGUACCGCCUCCCAGCUUGGCCCCAGUGAGAAAUGGCAGCGGAGCUUGGCACUUCCUCGCAGUGCUGCUCUCUGCCCGUCUUGAAACACGGACCAAGGAGUCUAAGGAGCUUGCUUGUUGGAUGGCUGAUAUUCGAAACCUCUCUGAGGCGUGGUGAAGGCAACGUCCAGUUCCAGAUGGGCUUGAUAUCUCUGCAUGGAAUGACCGGACCCGAAGUCCAGCGGACAGGGUUUUGAGUGCUUGCAAGGUCCUUGGGACCCGAAAGGUGGUGAACUAUACCGUUCUACGACGAAGCCAUGGGAAACUGUGGUGGAAGUCGGUCGCUGUUCUGACGUGCAAAUUGUGUAGCCUGAGUGCGGCAUAGGGGUGAAAGGCCAAUCGAGCCACCUAGUAGCUGGUUCCCUUCGAAGUUUCCCUCAGGAUAGCUGGGAUCCAGAGAAGCGAAGACCAUCUUGAAUGGUUCCAUCCGGUAAAGCAACGCAUGAGAGGCCAACCCUGGGGAGCCCAGCUCCUCAACCUAUCCUCGAACUGUGAAUGGGUGUGGACAACCCAGGCACGCUUCUUCGCAACGGCUGGAGGCUGUGUCACAGCAGUUCUCCCUGCCUUCUGAGCGUGUUCGUCCCAACUGAUGGCUUUGUUUGCCUGCCGGUUCGGGCCCAGGGCGAACGAGAGAGUCUCCAGCCCUCCCCAACCAGUAGCGCAAAAGUCUUCGUCGUGUUGAACAAUGGCUCCUAUGUGGACCAUGACUGGUAAGCAGUGCUGGUGAUGCGGGGUGCUCCGAGAGCAGACUUACAGAUCCAGAGUGUUGGCUCAUACUCAGAUCCCACAAAGGAUGUUGCUUACUAUGGAUAGCAGGACGGUGGCCAUGAAGGUUGGAACCCGCUGAGGAAUGUGUAACAACUCACCUGCCGAAGUGCGCAGCUCCCAAAAUGGAUGGUGCCUAAGUCAGUGAAUCGUCUCCCUUACAGUCUGCCAACGAUAUGGCCAGCCAAGGCAGAGCAUCGUUGUGUAGAAAGGGCAUGAGUGACUGCGGAUCCUGCUGGGAUUGAUUCCGGCUUGAGCGUCACCCAGAGCAGAUCUUGGUUGUAGUAGCGAGUACUCCACCGAAUGAGGAGUGGCAACACAACUCCGCUAUGUGCGAUUGAGGACUGGAGUGGAGCAGGUUUCCACACCAAACAGCCGUUGAAUGUGGGUCAACCGAUCGUGAGCCAAGUGGUAAGUUCACCGAACAACCAAAGCUGCCUUGAUCCUUCUCUCCGACGCUGGACUCAGCAGCAGGGGUUCGUCGUCGCGCGGGGUGCAGUCCCAGGGAGCCAAAGAGUGAGAGCCUCCCCCUGCCCCCGUCGUGCACGGGUCCCUGUCUGGUCCGAAGGAGCAGCGGGCAGGAAUGGCAAACAGGCAAGUGCGAGCAAGAUUCUACUGUCAUGGGCUAGAGGUCAUUUUUGGCGAUGGCGACAUCUCCAAGGCAGCCCCUCCAGGCAUCGAACCAGUGAAUCCCCUGUGGAGUUCUCGUUUCCUCCUGAUGCAGACUCAUGUGGGCUAUAGAUUGGCAUGACAGAUGGUGGUGUAUGCCCUUCGCUCAGCAAGGCAGUGUGGUCUCCACACUGAUGGCAGUUAUCUCAAAGACGAAAGCAAGCGACACACCCGUUGUUGCUGUGAACGACCGAGUGGUAGUCACUGGUUCCAAUGAACAGCCUGCAGGAUUCUCGUGCCUCAGGACCCUUGUGUCCGUACUGCAUCACCGCAGCCGGUCUCCUCGACUAGACGUCGCUUGUCCACGGACGAAAUGCGGCUAAGGGAAGUCGGCAAACUGGCCGUGCACCUUUGGAAGAUACGGUGGCUCCAGAAGCCAAGUCAGCAGGCCCUGUUGAGGGAGCUGUGCGGGCAUUGGUCGAUCUCUGUGUGGGAUGCCCUCGGGUGUUCUGCGCGGAUGCUUCGCCUUUGCUCGUGCUCCAUCCCGGACAGGGGCAACCGUCGGGGCAACUCGGCGGCCGACCUGCUGUCUAUCCAGUGGCUCAUGUGGAACUGUUGCUGUGCAGGGGAAUCUGACUGUUUAAUUGAAACCCAGCUUUGUGAAGGGACCAGCUGGCUGGUUCCGUGAGGUGACUUCUGCCCAGUGCUCUGAUUGUCAAUGCGAAGAGAUUCAGCCAAGCGCGGGUAAACGGCGGGAGUAACUAUGACUCUCUUAAGGUAGCCAAAUGCCUCGUCAACCAAUUAUUGACGCGCAUGAAUGGAUCAACGAGAUUCCUGCUGUCCCUAGUCGCUGUCUGGUGAACCAACAACCAAGGGAACGGGCUUGGAUGUGUCAGCGGGGAAAGAAGAGCCUGUUGAGA
rnacentral:rRNA from 1 species